GAGAGGGGGAAGAGCUACAAAAGCUUUUGAAGAGCUCAAUCCUCGAUUUGUAGAACAACGGGAAAAUGAAUUGGUCCAACAAAAAUCAAUGUACAAAUGGGAUGUGUAUGCAGACUGUUUAUCGUACAUCUUCAACUCGAAGGAUCCGAAAGCUAUUCCCGCAGAUAUCAUCUUGUCAUUCACAAAAGCAUUUCAAUUUAAACUCGUAAAAGAAGCAGCGUAAGUGCAACAAUCUACCAUUUUUCUAAAAAAGAUAGAUAGAUGUAUAAAAAAAAAUCUCUUUGGGGGGGGGGGGGGUU